UACGGAGGAUCCGAGCGUUAUCUGGAUUUAUUGGGUUUAAAGGGUGCGCAGGCGGGGGAUUAAGUCGGCGGUGAAAUUUUGCAGCUCAACUGUAAAAGUGCCUUCGAAACUGGUUUCCUUGAGUGUAGAUGAAGUAGGCGGAAUUUGUGGUGUAGCGGUGAAAUGCAUAGAUAUCACGAGGAACUCCGAUUGCGCAGGCAGCUUACUAAACUACUACUGACGCUCAGGCACGAAGGCGUGGGGAUCAAACAGGAUUAGAUACCCUGGUA
rnacentral:rRNA from 1 species